UCUGUUGAGUUACGACUUUAAAAUUGAAAUUUCUAACCUUCAUAGGUUCAGAAACCGAAAUUGAAUACAUGGAUAUGCUAAUGGAAAUUUUUAGAACCAUUUGGGAAAGUUACUUAAAAAUUUAUUUUGUCUAAUUCGUUAAGGUAUGUUCGGGUGGUUAACUUUGCACUGCAAAUUGAAGGUCUUAGAGGCUUCAAAAACCAGAACAGAAUACAUAAUUAUGAUCAGCAUAAUUUUUAGAGUCAUCUGUGAAGUUUAAUUGAAAUUUGAUUUUGGCUGAUUCAUUAAGUCAUGUUUGGCUCUUAUCAUUGAGAUAAGCUUUUGGCUAUAGGUUUUAUGAGACAAGGUAAAGAUAUAAUAGUAUAUGGGCCUUGUGGAGAUAGACUCAACAAAGAAAGGAAAAGAAAAAAAAUCUGGAGAGAAAGAGAAAGGGAGAGAGGAAGAAAGCUUUUAGAGAGAGAGAGCUAAACGUCCAUGAAAUUUGAAGAUGAAAUUGAAGAAGAAGCAUGGGAAAUUGAGAGACUUGGAGUUGAAUUCAAGAAAUUGACUUAAGGUCAAGACGAGGACAUCACCCAACUACUACCGGAAGCCCGUCACUGUGAUCAAUCCGAAGACCAUCCUUAGGUCAGCCUCAGGAGUUCUGUUGUGAACCUGCUAAGUCAAGCCACCCAAAGUGCGCUUCUGUGUUGAGACUUUAACCUUGUAUUGGUAGAAUUUUGUAUUUACUUAAGUUUUAUGUAUAUGUGUGUGAGAUAUAUAUAUAUAUAUAUAUAUGUACACUAGUGUGUUUACAUUGUUUUAAUUAUUUCCGUUAUCAUGUAUGCACAAGCUCAAUGGACAUUACUAUUUGA